UACGUAGGUCCCAAGCGUUGUUCGGACUCACUGGGCGUAAAGGGUGCGUAGGCGGCGCGGAAAGUCAGAUUUGAAAGCCCCGGGCUCAACCCGGGAACUGCAUCCGAUACUCCCGCGCUAGAGGAUUGGAGAGGAGUCUGGAAUUCACGGUGUGGCAGUGAAAUGCGUAGAUAUCGUGAGGAACACUCGUGGCGAAGGCGAGACUCUGGACAAUUCCUGACGCUGAGGCACGAAGGCCGGGGGAGCAAACAGG
rnacentral:rRNA from 1 species